rnacentral:rRNA from 1 species
UACGUAGGGAGCAAGCGUUGUUCGGAUUUACUGGGCGUAAAGGGCGCGUAGGCGGCGCGGUAAGUCACUUGUGAAAUCUCUGAGCUUAACUCAGAACGGCCAAGUGAUACUGCAGUGCUAGAGUGCAGAAGGGGCAAUCGGAAUUCUUGGUGUAGCGGUGAAAUGCGUAGAUAUUACAAGGAACACCAAUGGCGAAGGCAGCUUGCUGGGCCUUUUCUGACGCUGAGGUACGAAAGCGUGGGGAGCGAACAGG